AGACGGGGGGCACCACAACAGGUGGAGCCUGCGGUUUAAUCGGACUCAACGCCGGGAAACUCACCAGAUAAGACAGCUGAAUGAUAGUCGGGCUGAAGACUCUACUUGACUAGCUGAGAGGAGGUGCAUGGCCGUCGUCAGUUCGUACUGUGAAGCAUCCUGUUAAGUCAGGCAACGAGCGAGACCCACGCCAACAGUUGCCAGCUCGUCCUCCGGGAUGGUGGGGACACUGUUGGGACCGCCUCUGCUAAAGAGGAGGAAGGAAUGGGCAACGGUAGGUCAGCAUGCCCCGAAUUAUCUGGGCUACACGCGGGCUACAAUGGGUGGGACAAUGGGUAUCGACACCGAAAGGUGAAGGCAAUCUCCUAAACCCAUCCGUAGUUCGGAUUGUGGGCUGCAACUCGCCCACAUGAAGCUGGAAUCUGUAGUAAUCGUGUCUCAAAAUGGCACGGUGAAUAUGUCCCUGCUCCUU
rnacentral:rRNA from 1 species